GACGAACGCUGGCGGCGUGCUUAACACAUGCAAGUCGAACGGAAAGGCCCUGCUUUUGUGGGUUUGUGGUUUGCGGAAGGGGGGGGAAAAACGCGUGUAACCUCCCCUUAUCUUGGGGUUAUCUAUUGGAAAAUGGGGCUAUAACCGCAUAGAAUCUCUUGCUCCAUGUUGGGGGUCGGAAAGUUCGGGCGUUGGGGGCUGGACUCGGGGGUUACGGGUUUGUUUGGGGGGUAGUGGUUUACCAAGGCUUUGACGGGUAGCAGGCCUAGGAGGGUGACCGGCCACAUGGGGACUGAGGUACGGCCCAGUAUCCUACGGGAGGCAGUGGGGGGGAAUAUUACAGAAUGGGGGGAAGCCUGAUGCAGCAACGCCGCGUGCGGGAAGACGGCCUACGGGUUGUAAACCGCUUUCGCCUGUGACGAAGCGUGAGUGACGGUAAUGGGUAAAGAAGCACCGGCUAACUACGUG
rnacentral:rRNA from 1 species